GCUCCAGUGGCCUAGUGGUUAGAGCGUUCGCCUCGGAUGUGGGAGGUCGCGGAUUCGUAACUCUGGCCGAGCC